UGCCCAGCAACUCCUAUCCCUACCUCCACGCGGUACCAGCCGGAAACUAUGAGCAACCUUAGGGAAGA
rnacentral:ribozyme from 1 species